UACAGGGGGGCAAGCGUUGUUCGGAAUUACUGGGCGUAAAGGGCUCGUAGGCGGCCAACUAAGUCCGACGUGAAAUCCCCAGGCUUAACCUGGGAACUGCGUCGAUACUGGAUGGCUUGAAUUCGGGAGAGGGAUGCAGAAUUCCAGGUGUAGCGGUGAAAUGCGUAGAUAUCUGGAGGAAUACCGGUGGCGAAGGCGGCAUCCUGGACCGACAUUGACGCUGAUGAGCGAAAGCUAGGGGAGCAAACGGG
rnacentral:rRNA from 1 species